rnacentral:tRNA from 1 species
UCCCCUGUAGCUCAGCUGGUAGAGCAAGCGGCUGUUAACCGCUGGGUCGUAGGUUCGAGUCCUACCGGGGGAGC